rnacentral:rRNA from 1 species
UUGGUCAAUGGUCGGGAGACUGAACCAGCCAAGCCGCGUGAGGGAGGAAGGUACAGAGUAUCGUAAACCUCUUUUGUCAGGGAACAAAGGCGGGGACGUGUCCCCGGAUGAGUGUACCUGAAGAAAAAGCAUCGGCUAACUCCGUGCC